UUUUACGUCUCAUUUCCCCAUAAAAUGUUCCCUGAGAUUUGUCGGUAAACUUAUCAUAUUUCAUACUCGAUAAAUUCGAUAAAAAAUCGAUGCGAGUCCUAGCCUUCUUCCCCGCUGUUUUUCCAAUCCCCUUCUUCCCCGUUUUUCUCCCUUCUCUGCUUGUUCUUGCCAAGAUCAUCAAUUGUAACUCCUAACCUUGUUAUGGCAAAGCUGUAAGGUCUUCGUGGCCAUUGGUGAGUCUCAUAAACAUCACGUCCAAAGCAACAAGAACGGAAGGGGCGAGGAUCGAUCGUCGGCUCUUUUUGUUCUUCAUUAUCAUCUUUGUUGAGGCACGAUAUACUCUGAUGAAACUCUAAAUUCCGAAGUGGCAUAGCUAGCUCUGAGGUUUCAACGUCAGAAACCCUAGCGGGCAGUGGCUACUCUCCCUCUCCAACACACUAGGGUAGAGCCAUUUUCUCUCCCUCUCUGCAGUUCUGGGACUCUGUUACUUACAGAAACAUUGACUCUCCUUUCCAACUGAAAGAGGAGUUUUCCAAGUGCUACCUUUCUUUCUCUCUUUAACCUCUUUAGAAACUGGAUAUCAAACACAAUCCACAACUGCAGCUAUGUGACCUGACGCUGAACUAAUUAUGACUGUGGUCAUGUUCAAUAAAAAUUCAAGCAAAUUGGUGGAACAAUGAUUUGGACGGAGGAGUUGCUCUGCAAAUUAACAAUAUGGAUUUGGCAAUUGGAUGGCAUGAACCAUAUAUUCAAGAGUUUUGUAGACUCAUGGGGCUAAUAUAAAGAUGUUGGUGAUGGUAUCCAUAUAUCCGAUGGUUGUCGUAAUUCAAUAGAAUUGAUUUUGAUGUGUCCAAUUACGUAGGGGAGCUAUCCAAGUGUUGAUCAGCCUUUGUGAAUUUAGACAAUGAUUAAUAAUAUUUGCUGAUUUGUCUGAUAUGUAACAUAUUUAUGAUAUAUGUGAUUGUGUUGUUGACCCAA